UUUGAAUCUGCAUCUGUCUAUCUGGCAUGUCAUCAUUGGCUGGGCCGCAGAAAUGGUCCUUGCCCAGAAUAUUUGUGGCUCGCCUGUGCUCCCGAAAGUCCCCGAGCCCCUUUCUCCCUUGCUAGCCAGUGACAUGCUAUAAAAGGAGAUUAGGUGGGCAAACCGUUGUCCCUCAGUUCCAACAUACUCGGCUCCCUGAGGUGGCAUGGCAGAAGAUGGCUGCCACGGCAGGGAAGCACCUCUCCCCUUGUGCACGCGGCCGGGACAAGAUGGCUGCAGGGCCGGAAGAGACAGCUCAAGUUCUGGUCCAUUUUGCGCACAAGAUGACUGCGCCCAGGUCACAUUUCUCUGAGCACGUGGCUGCAAGUAAUCAGCAACAUGAGGGGGGAGAGACUGAAUAGGGAGGAAAUUCACAGUUGUAAUCAUCAUCCUCACUACGAUAUAGGCAUUUAUGUGAAUGGAAGGUCUGCUAAAGGUGACUGAUUUUUCUGUUUUCUUUGUCUGUGCUGGAAGCUUGUUCCUGUCAAGAGGUAUCUGUGGCCUCCAGAUCUUACAUAUUUUUCUGGGGCUUUACUCAUGGCAU